rnacentral:tRNA from 1 species
UUCGUCAUAGCUUAGUGGUUAGAGCGCUUGAACGGCUUCCAAGAGGCGCGAGUUCUAAUCCCGCUGGCCGCU